GAAAUCGACGCCAACUGGCACAUCGGACACCUGGGCUGGAGCCCUGACACUUGGUACUCCGAGGCUUUCCUGCAUACAGCUAACCUACUGCACUGGAACGGCCGGUUCAAACCCUGGGACUUCCCCUGUGUGCACAUGGAGCUGUGGGAGAAGUGGUAUGUCCCGGACCCCACGGGCAGAUUUGUAUUGGUACGGCCCGAGAGCUGAGACAGAGGAGCAACAGCACAGCCGAACCACAGCAAGCUGGUGCUCUGGACAAGGUGUGGGGAGGGAGGCAGAGUGGUGGGGGAAGAGAAAGAAGACAGAAAAACAAUGAAGACCAUGAAAGAGUGAAAGAGAAUGUGUGAGAAUGAACAAAAGCGUGACCGCAAGUGUAAACCAAAGAAAGACGGAAUAACUAAGAGUGCGAGAGAGGUAAUGACAAAGAGAAACGCAGAGCAUGGCGUCUCUACAUUUCCCUGGCCGGUCCUGUACAGCUGCAUGUGUGAAAUUCACAAGGAACAGAGUUCUGCAAAACACCACAUGGAGAAGAACCCAAGGGUUUGGAUCUUCACAGUAUUGAACGGUGUACCCUGACUGCUGCACUCCCCGUCGCCUGCAGGGGGUGCUGCUCCCAUUCUGAACCACUGGCAUGCUGGAAAACUCAGAACACUCUUUGUCGGGUAAUGUAAAUGAAAUCCACUAUGGACCGCACUCCGUGGGAGAACUGUUUGUUUUCAACCAUUUUAAGGACAUCCUGGCAUUAUUUGCAGGCUAAUAAAUAAUAAAACAUU